ACACUUUUAUUCUCUUCCUUGGAAGAAACAACAACAAUGACAACCUCCAUAACUAAUGCUUCUGGUCUAAAAAACCUUCUCCCUAAAGGACAUGUUUUCACCCACUACCAAUGAUCUCAACAAAUUUCUGGAUAGAAAGGACCUAUAGACAGAGAGAUGUACUUGCCGGAUUUUUUCAUCAACUGAAGAACAGGGGCAUCUGCUGCCACAGAGAGGAGAAGUUGCUCUUUUGCCUUUGGCCAUGGAUGUAUCAGGGUGGCUGUGUAUUCGCCUGGAGAGCCCACAGAUGCCACUGACACAGCAGCUGCUCUGACAAUAGCCCAUCAAUGGCUCCUGGAAAAACCUAGUAGACUGGCAGCUUUCAUUGCAAAUAACCAGGAAAUAAGAAGAUAGUGCAUUUUAUAUUUACAAGAGUGUUUCCUCUCCUGAAGCGUCCCCAGAGUUUCCACUCCAGGCCUGAGAUGAGUGAUUACCCAGCACAGAUUGUCUUAUUUAUUUGGAAGACUCUCCAGCUCAGUCCAGCUGCUUUUUCUUGGGACAGCAGACAGACCCUGGACAUGGUAUCCUUUUACGUUACAAUAUUUACAAAGUAGAAUAAAUCAAUGAGACCCAACAGG
rnacentral:lncRNA from 1 species